GAGUUUGAUCCUGGCUCAGGACGAACGCUGGCGGCGUGCUUAACACAUGCAAGUCGAACGGAAAGGCCCUUCGGGGUGCUCGAGUGGCGAACGGGUGAGUAACACGUGGGUGAUCUGCCCUGCACUUUGGGAUAAGCCUGGGAAACUGGGUCUAAUACCGAAUACACCCUGCUGGUUGCAUGACCUGGUGGGGGAAAGCUUUUGUGGUGUGGGAUGGCCCGCGGCCUAUCAGCUUGUUGGUGGGGUGAUGGCCUACCAAGGCGACGACGGGUAGCCGGCCUGAGAGGGUGACCGGCCACACUGGGACUGAGAUACGGCCCAGACUCCUACGGGAGGCAGCAGUGGGGAAUAUUGCACAAUGGGCGCAAGCCUGAUGCAGCGACGCCGCGUGGGGGAUGACGGCCUUCGGGUUGUAAACCUCUUUCAGUAGGGACGAAGCGCAAGUGACGGUACCUACAGAAGAAGGACCGGCCAACUACGUGCCAGCAGCCGCGGUAAUACGUAGGGUCCGAGCGUUGUCCGGAAUUACUGGGCGUAAAGAGCUCGUAGGUGGUUUGUCGCGUUGUUCGUGAAAACCGGGGGCUUAACCCUCGGCGUGCGGGCGAUACGGGCAGACUGGAGUACUGCAGGGGAGACUGGAAUUCCUGGUGUAGCGGUGGAAUGCGCAGAUAUCAGGAGGAACACCGGUGGCGAAGGCGGGUCUCUGGGCAGUAACUGACGCUGAGGAGCGAAAGCGUGGGGAGCGAACAGGAUUAGAUACCCUGGUAGUCCACGCCGUAAACGGUGGGUACUAGGUGUGGGUUUCCUUCCUUGGGAUCCGUGCCGUAGCUAACGCAUUAAGUACCCCGCCUGGGGAGUACGGCCGCAAGGCUAAAACUCAAAGGAAUUGACGG
rnacentral:rRNA from 1 species